rnacentral:rRNA from 1 species
AGCAGCCGCGGUAAUUCCAGCUCCAAUAGCGUAUAUUAAAGUUGUUGCAGUUAAAAAGCUCGUAGUUGAAUUUCGGGGUUAGUAGGCUGGUCGUGCCACUGGCACGUACUGGUCUCACUGAUUCCUCCCUCUUGAAGAACCGUAAUGCCAUUAAUUUGGUGUUGCAGGGAAACUGGACUGUUACUUUGAAAAAAUUAGAGUGUUUAAAGCAAGCUAACGCUUGAAUACAUUAGCAUGGAAUAAUGAAAUAGGACGUUCGAUCCUAUUUUGUUGGUUUCUAGGAUUGACGUAAUGAUUAAUAGGGAUAGUUGGGGGGCAUUAGUAUUCAAUUGUCAGAGGUGAAAUUCUUGGAUUUAUUGAAGACUAACUACUGCGAAAGCAUUUGCCAAGGAUGUUUUCAUUAAUCAAGAACGAAAGUUAGGGGAUCGAAGACGAUCAGAUACCGUCGUAGUCUUAACCAUAAACUAUGCCGACUAGGGAUCGGAUGAUGUUAAUUUUUUUAAUGACUCAUUCGGCGCCU